GCUCAGGAUGAACGCUGCGGGCGUGCUUAACACAUGCAAGUCGAACGAUGAUCUCCAGCUUGCUGGGGGGAUUAGUGGCGAACGGGUGAGUAACACGUGAGUAACCUGCCCUUGACUCUGGGAUAAGCCUGGGAAACUGGGUCUAAUACUGGAUAUGACCUUCCAUCGCAUGGUGGUUGGUGGAAAGCUUUUUGUGGUUUUGGAUGGACUCGCGGCCUAUCAGCUUGUUGGUGGGGUAAUGGCCUACCAAGGCGACGACGGGUAGCCGGCCUCUGAGGGUGGACGGCCACACUGGGACUGAGACACGGCCCAGACUCCUACGGGAGGCAGCAGUGGGGAAUAUUGCACAAUGGGCGCAAGCCUGAUGCAGCGACGCCGCGUGAGGGAUGAAGGCCUUCGGGUUGUAAACCUCUUUCAGUAGGGAAGAAGCGAAAGUACGGUACCUGCAGAAGAAGCGCCGGGUACUACGU
rnacentral:rRNA from 1 species